GGGCGGUCGGUGACUUCCUGCACGCGUGCAUUCUGGGAAAUCGAGUCCGCACCCGUGAUUACUUAGUACUCCGGUUGUGAGGCACUCUGGGAAAUGAAGUCGUCACCACGCCCUCACCGCAUUGCAGGACUAAGACCUAAACUGAUAAUUGAGUGCUGGAAAAAAAAAAAAAAAGUCCCAAGUGGCCACAUAAAGAGAAGAGAAAAAGGUCGGCUUGCAUUCUCAAAGGAUUUAGUAUUGUAAACAGUCCAGACCGUGUCUCAGAACAUCUGUUUUCGGAUAGUCUACCUUUCCCUACCAAGAAGAUGAGCUGCAAGAUUUAAAGAGAGAGAAUUUCUAUCCUGAACCCCAACUCAAUUUUUUUUUUUUUUUUUGCGUCUACCCUCUUCCUAAAUUACAGGAUUCCAAUGACACAAGAAGGAGCUUCAGCUUUCCUGAGUAUGAAUCUCCCGUUAACCAAUUAAUACCCCGGGAGAUCGCUCCAAAGUAGGAAAUACACUGUCACCACCACCACCACCACCUCCACCACCACCACCGUGAGGAAAUGUUCCAGACCUCCAAAUGGAUUUAGGUGGGCGAUUAAAGACUGGAGGAGCUGCUGUUUUUAAGGCCAAAAAGCACCCUCUGACAUCCCACACGGCCAGAAUCUGGGUCGACAAGUCUGAUUAGAUCAUGACCUGUCCUCUGGAAGGGUUCUGAGGCUGAACGCUUUGAUUAGAGUCACAUGAUUAGAGGUGCUUUGAAGGCCCAGCGGUGACUACACGUGCCUUUGAUCCCAGCAGGCUGGGGCAGGCAGAUCUGUGAGUUGGAGGCCAGCCUGGUCUCCUUGUGUGAGUUCCUUGACAGCCAGAGCUACAUGGAGGAAUCCGGCCUUUAAAAAAUAAAUAAAAAUAAAAUAAAAUAAAAAAACACAAGACUUUGAGGAGUUCUGCUGAGG
ensembl:lncRNA